UACGUAGGGUGCGAGCGUUAAUCGGAAUUACUGGGCGUAAAGCGUGCGCAGGCGGUUCGCUAAGACCGAUGUGAAAUCCCCGGGCUUAACCUGGGAACUGCAUUGGUGACUGGCGGGCUAGAGUAUGGCAGAGGGGGGUGGAAUUCCGCGUGUAGCAGUGAAAUGCGUAGAGAUGCGGAGGAACACCGAUGGCGAAGGCAGCCCCCUGGGCUAACACUGACGCUGAGGCACGAAAGCGUGGGGAGCAAACAGG
rnacentral:rRNA from 1 species